ACGGCCCAGAUUCCUACGGGAGGCAGCAGUGGGGAAUAUUGCACAAUGGGCGCAAGCCUGAUGCAGCAACGCCGCCUGAGGGACGACGGCCUUCGGGUUGUAAACCUCUUUUAGCAGGGAAGAAGCGAAAGUGACGGUACCUGCAGAAAAAGCGCCGGCUAACUACGUGCCAGCAGCCGCGGUAAUACGUAGGGCGCAAGCGUUAUCCGGAAUUAUUGGGCGUAAAGAGCUCGUAGGCGGUUUGUCGCGUCUGCUGUGAAAUCCCGAGGCUCAACCUCGGGUCUGCAGUGGGUACGGGCAGACUAGAGUGCGGUAGGGGAGAUUGGAAUUCCUGGUGUAGCGGUGGAAUGCGCAGAUAUCAGGAGGAACACCGAUGGCGAAGGCAGAUCUCUGGGCCGUAACUGACGCUGAGGAGCGAAAGGGUGGGGAGCAAACAGGCUUAGAUACCCUGGUAGUCCACCCCGUAAACGUUGGGAACUAGUUGUGGGGUCCAUUCCACGGAUUCCGUGACGCAGCUAACGCAUUAAGUUCCCCGCCUGGGGAGUACGGCCGCAAGGCUAAAACUCAAAGGAAUUGACGGGGACCCGCACNAGCGGCGGAGCAUGCGGAUUAAUUCGAUGCAACGCGAAGAACCUUACCAAGGCUUGACAUAUACGAGAACGGGCCAGAAAUGGUCAACUCUUUGGACACUCGUAAACAGGUGGUGCAUGGUUGUCGUCAGCUCGUGUCGUGAGAUGUUGGGUUAAGUCCCGCAACGAGCGCAACCCUCGUUCUAUGUUGCCAGCACGUAAUGGUGGGAACUCAUGGGAUACUGCCGGGGUCAACUCGGAGGAAGGUGGGGAUGACGUCAAAUCAUCAUGCCCCUUAUGUCUUGGGCUUCACGCNUGCUACAAUGGCCGGUACAAAGGGCUGCAAUACCGUAAGGUGGAGCGAAUCCCAAAAAGCCGGUCCCAGUUCGGAUUGAGGUCUGCAACUCGACCUCAUGAAGUCGGAGUCGCUAGUAAUCGCAGAUCAGCAACGCUGCGGUGAAUACGUUCCCGGGUCUUGUACACACCGCCCGUCAAGUCAUGAAAGUCGGUAACACCUGAAGCCGGUGGCCCAACCC
rnacentral:rRNA from 1 species